GAUGAACGCUAGCGGCAGGCUUAACACAUGCAAGUCGAGGGGUAACGGGGAUAGCUUGCUAUUUGCCGACGACCGGCGCACGGGUGAGUAACGCGUAUACAAUUUGCCAUGUACAGGGGGAUAACCGAGAGAAAUUUUGACUAAUACCCCAUGGUAUUAUGGAUCGGCAUCGGUUCGUAAUUAAAGAUUUAUCGGUACAUGAUGGGUAUGCGUCCUAUUAGUUUGAUGGUAAGGUAACGGCUUACCAUGGCUUUGAUAGGUAGGGGUCCUGAGAGGGAGAUCCCCCACACUGGUACUGAGACACGGACCAGACUCCUACGGGAGGCAGCAGUGAGGAAUAUUGGACAAUGGGGGCGACCCUGAUCCAGCCAUGCCGCGUGCAGGAAGACCGCCCUAUGGGUCGUAAACUGCUUUUGCACGGGAAGAAACCCGGCCUUGCGAGGCCGGCUGACGGUACCGUUCGAAUAAGCACCGGCUAACUCCGUGCCAGCAGCCGCAGUAAU
rnacentral:rRNA from 1 species